CACGUAGGGGGCAAGCGUUGUCCGGAUUUAUUGGGCGUAAAGAGCUCGUAGGUGGUUCGGUAAGUCGGGUGUGAAAACUCUGGGCUCAACUCAGAGACGCCACCCGAUACUGCUGUGACUUGAGUCUGGUAGGGGAGUGUGGAAUUCCCAGUGUAGCGGUGAAAUGCGCAGAUAUCAAGCGGAACACCGGUGGCGAAGGCGGCCUUCUGGACAGUGACUGACGCUGAGACGCGAAAGCGUGGGGAGCAAACAGG
rnacentral:rRNA from 1 species